UCGAUAAAGGCAAACCGCCGGUGACGGCGGGACGCAAAGCCACCGAUCUCGGCCCGGAUCAUCCGCCCGGAACGAGACAGCGGGGUCGCCGA
rnacentral:ncRNA from 1 species